GAUGAAGAACGCAGCGAAAUGCGAUAAGUAAUGUGAAUUGCAGAAUUCAGUGAAUCAUCGAAUCUUUGAACGCACAUUGCGCCCGCCAGUAUUCUGGCGGGCAUGUCUGUUCGAGCGUCAUUACAACCCUCAGGCCCCCGGGCCUGGCGUUGGGGAUCGGCGGAGCCCCCCGUGGGCACACGCCGUCCCCCAAAUACAGUGGCGGUCCCGCCGCAGCUUCCAUCGCGUAGUAGCUAACACCUCGCGACUGGAGAGCGGCGCGGCCACGCCGUAAAACACCCAACUCUUCUGAAGUUGACCUCGAAUCAGGUAGGAAUACCCGCUGAACUUAAGCAUAUCAAUAAGCGGAGGA
rnacentral:misc_RNA from 1 species